UUCGGAGGCAAAUGUGAGUUCAGAUCGCACUCCAGGAAAUGCUGCUGUGUAGCUGCAGCUCCUUGGAGCCUGGGCUUUCAUCUGCAAAAUGAGCACGUGGCUUUCCAAAGACUCGAACUAAGGAAGAUCGUUGCCACCCUGCGAUGCUUAGCUGUGCAGUACCACGACUGUGUUGGAACCGACACUGAUGAAACACUACGGACCGCACACACACACGCACACACGCACACAGCGACACGGGAAGGCUGCGUGAGGUGGUCAUUUUGACUUUGGGAAAGGACUGGAAGUCACAGAUCCUGUGACUGAGGUGCACGAGGACACAGCGUCAUGUUUUUAGGAGCUGCCUUUCCAUUGGAUGGCGCUUGGCAACAGCACUCACCGUAGACACUCAUGAAGGAGGACUCCAGAACUGCUUCAGAAAGAGGCAAGAAUGAUGGGAUGAGUCUGUUCAAAGUAAGGGGGAGAAUUCUGAAGAGGAUUAACAGCAAUGUGUCAUUUACUGUAAUAAAUUUUUAACAGGUAAGCAGUCACCAUAUAUUUUGAUCAACCCUUGUCUCUGCAGAUUAAACUAGUGUACAGACAGUCCCUGGUGGCUAGCAACCUGAAAGCAUUAGCUACUGCUGCUGGUAGAAGCGCUGGGCUUCAGCUCGAGCCUGGGAAGGCUUAUGAGCUGCGGAUCCCACUCGCUCUGUC
rnacentral:lncRNA from 1 species